GGUUACUUUCUACCGCUUCCGUUGUCUUAUUCGUUGGGAAGGUCACGUUUAUUUUUUCGACUGUCUUGUCACGUAGACUUUAAUAAUGUUGUCCAGGGCACUUCCCGCUGUCAGAGCAUUAAAGUCGAUUGCACGUACACAGCCACAAGUUCUACGAUGUAUGAGUGGAGAAGCCCCAGCUCACUGGAAAUCAGAAAGACAAAUAGCUAUUGAUGGUAAAAUAACAUUAGAUGACAUUCCUGUUCCAGAAGGAUCAUGGCAGGAGCAACAGGAUAGAAUCAACAAAUCACAGAACGUGAUGCUAGUUGGUUCACUAGUAUUUUUUGCUAUAACAGCAGUAGCUGCAUACCAGCUUGACGCAGUUUAUAUGCAUGGAGAACCACCUUUAAAAUCUGUGAAAUUUGAUUAAAUUGAAAAUAUUUAGUAGAAUGAAGAUUAAGAAAUCUGAAAAAGUUUUAUUUCAGAGCUGACUUUAUUUAUAGAUAUACUACCAAGUUUUGUGGAUUAUUGAAUUGUCGUUAUAUCAAACCAUCAAUAAAUUUUUAAAUACUG